rnacentral:rRNA from 1 species
UACGUAGGGGGCAAGCGUUGUCCGGAUUUAUUGGGCGUAAAGAGCGUGUAGGCGGCCUGACAGGUCUGCUGUGAAAACUCGAGGCUCAACCUCGAGACGUCGGUUGAAACCAUCUGGCUAGAGUCCGGAAGAGGAGUGUGGAAUUCCCGGUGUAGCGGUGAAAUGCGCAGAUAUCGGGAAGAACACCCGUGGCGAAGGCGGCGACCUGGUCCUUAACUGACGCUGAGGCGCGAAAGCGUGGGGAGCAAACAGG